rnacentral:rRNA from 1 species
UGGCGAACGGGUGAGUAACACGUGGGUGAUCUGCCUUGCACUUCGGGAUAAGCCUGGGAAACUGGGUCUAAUACCGGAUAGGACCAUGCUUUAGUGUGUGUGGUGGAAAGUUUUUCGGUGCAAGAUGAGCCCGCGGCCUAUCAGCUUGUUGGUGGGGUAAUGGCCUACCAAGGCGACGACGGGUAGCCGGCCUGAGAGGGUGUACGGCCACAUUGGGACUGAGACACGGCCCAG